GGGAAUGUGGCUCAGUGGUAGAGUGCUUGCCUAGCAUGCAUGAAGCUCCGAUUACAUUCCUA
rnacentral:tRNA from 1 species